rnacentral:rRNA from 1 species
UACGUAGGGGACAAGCGUUGUCCGGAUUUAUUGGGCGUAAAGAGCGUGUAGGCGGCCAGACAGGUCCGUUGUGAAAACUAGAGGCUUAACCUCUAGACGUCGAUGGAAACCGUCUGGCUAGAGUCCGGAAGAGGAGAAUGGAAUUCCUGGUGUAGCGGUGAAAUGCGCAGAUAUCAGGAAGAACACCCGUGGCUAAGGCGGUUCUCUAGUACGGUACUGACGCUGAGACGCGAAAGCGUGGGGAGCGAACAGG